GGUGAGAUGUCCGAGUGGUUGAAGGAGCACGCCUGGAAAGCGUGUAUGUGCGAAAGUGCAUCGAGGGUUCGAAUCCCUCUCUCACCGCCA
rnacentral:tRNA from 4 species